UCAGCUAUCGGUUUAGCACACACAGCCUGAUACAAGUCUUACGUCAAAUUCUAUAAAAAACACACACACCCAAAAAGCUAAUAAUCCUAUUAAAGAACUUAAGAGAAAGAUUAAUGACAGCUACACAUAAGAACCUGCAUCUCAUUAAGGUUUCAUUUGCUUCUUUUGGAAUUAGAAAAUGAAAUAAUGGUGGUAGCUAUAUAAUAUCUAUUCUACAAUUGCGGUGGCUGCUGAUGCCACUUUUUGACUAGCUGAGUAGCUGAUCUCCUUUCCCUGGAGAUUGCCGCUGAUUGCUGAUCCUGUGAAUGAAGCUAGUGAAAGUGCCAGCUCACAGCCAACCAUGCUUUAAGUCAACAACUGCACAGAUUUCCUUUAGAGCAUGUCAGUACUGAUAAUCUGGCCAGAGGAAUCAUUCUUGAAUGACAUGAGACAUCCUCUGACUGCAGGGGUUGAGUAUACUGUCUCCUUAGGUCUUUUAGUCUAUGUCAUCCCAAAGAACAAGCAAUCAGGAGACAAGAGACCAUAUCACUACCAAUAAACUAUCAGAUUGG